GAAAUAUAAAGCCUCGAGUUUAAACGGAAACAUUUAAAGGUCCUUUGGCACGCGAAUAGUUUGCCGUGUUUUGCACCAGUCUUAUAUUUGCCCGCUUAUUAUAUAGAAAAAAAUAUAUACAACCAAUUACCAUUACAACAAUAUUUCAUUCUAAUAUUCUUCUUGAUUGCGCUUAUUAGUUCAAAAAAGCUUCAAAAUCAUAUACAGCAAGAACGAUGCAGCACAGAGACACAAACAACUUAAAUCACAAUUAAUAGUCUAUCUACGGCAAGAACGUUAGCGCGAGCCCCAUGUAUAAGUGAAUUCAGCUCGCAGAUCGUCGUCUUUGCUGGAAUACCAAUGAGUGGAGAUCGUGGAGACAAAAAGAAGUGCAACGUCGUGUGCAGUAACGUAGCUGGAGACCAUUUGCCCUAGUGCAAAAUAAUCUAGGGCGCCACCUCAAGUUUAAAAGACUUUUUUGAGUGUUAUCAAUGAAAUGCCGAAUCUUCAAAAUUUUAACGUUUCUUUUGUUUAUUUAUAUCUACUAGCGGGCUUCGUGGUAUUAAAGGGAGAGAGAAGGUUUAAGAUUAAAAAUGAGUGUGUUUCGUUAUUUCGAGGUGCCUCUUGAGACGAGAGGCCCGAUGCACGGAACCUUUGAUUGCUACGCCACUGAGGGUGUUCUGACAUCUCAAGCCGUUCUAUUUCCACCUUGAGGAAUUUUUCAUUACACGUUUUAUGUUUAAACUCGACUAUAAUAUUUUUUACGAGAACGAGAUAAGUCUUUAUGACUCAAGUUACGAUUGUAGCGUCUUACUGGAUUUUCCAAGGAAAUAGAAAAAUAAACAGAGUAACUAUUUGUAAACACGUUGUUACUUGCAGGAAGUCUCGUCGCUGUAAUAUUUCUCUUAUCUGAGUGCUUUCCCGGUUGAUUUACAAAAAUAACGCGACCUUGGAGCCCGGGGUCCGCUUAGUGUAUAUAUGUACAAAAUAGAUAUGGAAUCCAAAUGCCACUUUCUCGUGGCUGUAUGACUGUUCUGAAUCGAGUAUGAAAGUUGUACAGAUGAGUCACACUCAAAACGACUUAAGUUUUUCAUUCAAAUUGUGUAUUUUUUUUCCUUCACAGGCUAAUUAACCGUACUUAAUGUAUGCUAAGUACAGAUUUGCGAAAGAUCGAUGAUUUUUAUCAAUCGAAUCUUAUUACUCAAUAGUUGCACCAGUUCAGUAAACAGAACUAUCAACUGCUGCCACUAGAACCAAGCUUCUAUACCUGGCACAAAAUUGAACAGA